GAUGAAGAACGCAGCGAAAUGCGAUAAGUAAUGUGAAUUGCAGAAUUCAGUGAAUCAUCGAAUCUUUGAACGCACAUUGCGCCCGCCAGCACUCUGGCGGGCAUGCCUGUCCGAGCGUCAUUUCAACCAUCAAGCCCCCGGGCUUGUGUUGGGGACCUGCGGCUGCCCGCAGGCCCUGAAAACCAGUGGCGGGCUCGCUGUCACACCGAGCGUAGUAGCAAUCACCUCGCUCAGGGCGUGCUGCGGGUUCCGGCCGUUAAACAGCCUUACAAAACCCAAGGUUGACCUCGGAUCAGGUAGGAAGACCCGCUGAACUUAAGCAUAUCAAUAAGCGGAGGA
rnacentral:misc_RNA from 1 species